GUCCUAUAGAAUUUAUUUUAGGUCUUGCCUGCCCAAUGAUUUUUAAAUGGCCGCGGUAUUUUGACCGUGCAAAGGUAGCAUAAUCAUUUGUCUCUUAAUUAGAGGCUGGAAUGAAUGGUUUGAUGAAAAACGUUCUUUAUUAUUUAAAUUUAUUAAAUUUUAUUUUUGAGUUAGAAAGCUUAAAUUUUUUUAUGGGACGAGAAGACCCUAUAGAACUUUACUUUUUCUUAUUUUGAAAAUUUAUAGUUUCUCAUAAACUUUUUUAAUGUAAGUUUUAGUUUGGUUGGGGCGACCUUGGUUUAUUUAUAACUACCAAAUUUUAUUUUCAAUGAUUUUUGUAUUAAUGAUCCAUAUUAAUGAUUAAUAGUUUAAGUUACCUUAGGGAUAACAGCGUAAUUUAAUUAGAGAGUUCUUAUCGAUAAUUAAGUUUGCGA
rnacentral:rRNA from 1 species